rnacentral:rRNA from 1 species
UUCUUUUAGGUUUUUAUUAAAAGUAUAAUCUGCCCACUGUGUAAAUAAAGGGCCGCGGUAUUUUGACCGUGCUAAGGUAGCAUAAUCAUUAGUCUCUUAAUUAGGGAAUAGUAUGAAGGAUUAAACUAAGAAGUUUUCUAUGAGGCUUAAAAAUAGAAUUUAAAGUUAAAGUGAAAAUACUUUAAGGACCUUAAAAGACGAUAAGACCCUAUAGAUCUUUAUUCUUUGGGUGCAUAAAUAAGUUAGAAGGAUUAUUAUGUAUUUGUAGGAUUUUGUUGGGGCAACAUAAGAAUAAAUAAAAUUUCUUAAGAUGAAGUAUUUAAGAGGGUUAAUAAUCUAAUAUCUUAAAAUGAAAAAGUUACCUUAGGGAUAACAGCGUAAUUAAUUUUGAGAGUUCAAAUUAACAGAUUAGAUUGCGACCUCGAUGUUGAAUUAAGAUUCCUUUUAGGAGCAGUAUUUUAAAAAAAAGGUGGUUUGUUCAACCAUAAAAUUCUUACA